CCUAUGGGUGGCAGCAGUGGGGAAUAUUGCACAAUGGGGGAAACCCUGAUGCAGCGACGCCGCGUGAGUGAAGAAGUAUCUCGGUACGUAAAGCUCUAUCAGCAGGGGAGAAAAUGACGGUACCUGACUAAGAAGCCCCGGCUAACUACGUGCCAGCAGCCGCGGUAAUACGGAGGGGGCAAGCGUUAUCCGGAUUUACUGGGUGUAAAGGGAGCGUAGACGGCAGUACAAGUCUGGAGUGAAAUCCCGGGGCUUAACCCCGGAACUGCUGUGGAAACUGUGCGGCUGGAGUGCAGGAGGGGUAAGCGGAAUUCCUAGUGUAGCGGUGAAAUGCGUAGAUAUUAGGAGGAACACCGGUGGCGAAGGCGGCUUACUGGACUGUAACUGACGUUGAGGCUCGAAAGCGUGGGGAGCAAACAGGAUUAGAUACCCCUGUAGUC
rnacentral:rRNA from 1 species